CCUAAUGAAUGUAGGCCACCUCUUCGCGGUGCUGAAAACCAGUACUCCUUUACAGAGGAAGCUAAGCGCCGA
rnacentral:ribozyme from 1 species